rnacentral:tRNA from 1 species
GGAGAUGUGGCUCAGUGGUGGAGUCUUUGCCUAGUGUGCAUGAGGCCCUGGGUUCGAUCACCAGCACCA